UAGACCCUGCAAUUUAAAAAAUCUGUAUCAAACGUGGCAGACUCAAAGGGGGGCAUUUUAAAAAAGGCAGGUUUGUUUUCUUUUUUAACUUUACGAUCUACAGCCUAGCAAAGAGCUCCCUUUCAGUGUCAGUCGCUUGGCCUUCUCCCCUACUGACGAGGUCCCAGCCUCCCGGUGAGAUCUCGCUGGAGAUAUUCUCAGUUUCCCUCAGGUACGGGGCUGCCCUGGCCCGAGGCCAGCGAAGAAGCUGACUUUGCCCGUGCCUGAAUCAGCAACACGUCCAGCAGGCGACUUGCAGAGCCCAGGGAACCCUCGUAAAGAGGUUUGGGGGUGGGCCGCGCCACAUCUGCGGCAUCGGCCGUGGGAGAGGACCGGCGCAGUAAAACAGGCUGGACGGAGCCCAUAGAGGAAGGCACUACGCGUCUUGCUGGGUCUGUUUGCCUGCCUUCUCGUAAGCCGUCGCGGAAACUUGCACGAGCAAAGCCUGUGCAAGCUGAUGACAGCCACGCACGGUUGAAGAGGGAGCAGACGGUGAGAGCAGAGGUGCGCGCUCAGGCUGUGCGCUGGAAGCUAAUGCUAAUGCUGCAAAAUAAAGAGUGGAUUUUCUUUUUUGGGUUUAGGUGAGCGCUAAACAUGA